rnacentral:rRNA from 1 species
AAUCAACGCUGGCGGCGUGCCUAACACAUGCAAGUCGCGCGCGAAAGGGGGGGCAACCCCCGAGUAAAGCGGCGAACGGGUGAGUAACACGUGGGUAAUCUACCUUCGAGUGGGGAACAACAUCGGGAAACUGGUGCUAAUUCCGCAUGACCAUCGUCGGGGCUUCGGUUCUGACGAUCAAAGCUGGGGAUCGUAAGACCUAGCGCUUGAAGAUGAGCCCGCGUCCGAUUAGCUAGUUGGCGGGGUAAUGGCCCACCAAGGCUCCGAUCGGUAGCCGGCCUGAGAGGGCGGACGGCCACACUGGAACUGAGACACGGUCCAGACUCCUACGGGAGGCAGCAGUCGGGUAAUUUUCCACAAUGGGCG